UACGUAGGGUCCAAGCGUUGUCCGGAAUUAUUGGGCGUAAAGAGCUCGUAGGCGGUCUGUCGCGUCGGUCGUGAAAACUUGGGGCUUAACCCCGAGCUUGCGGUCGAUACGGGCAUGACUGGAGUUCGGCAGGGGAGACUGGAAUUCCUGGUGUAGCGGUGAAAUGCGCAGAUAUCAGGAGGAACACCGGUGGCGAAGGCGGGUCUCUGGGCCGAUACUGACGCUGAGGAGCGAAAGCGUGGGGAGCAAACAGG
rnacentral:rRNA from 1 species